CGGCCAGAGGCUGGCGCUUUGUCUCCAUCGGACUUUAAUGCCACCUCACCUUGGGCAGAGGGAAUGUGGUUAAGUCAACACUGUGGACGGGCCUCUAACCAACCCUAAAGAAGCUGUGUGCGGACGCUGGCAGCCUUGGGCACUGAUAAAGGUAGAGUGUCCGUGCGCACUCUCAUCCACUUGAACUCACGGCAGGCCCAGCGGGCCAGGCCUCCGGGUCACCACACAUGUAUAAAAAGGGAAACUGAGGCUCCAGGGCUCCUGAUGAUGCUAACAGACACAGCCAGCUCUCUGCGCCCGGGCUACGAGUUCCGAUGCUGGCACUUUGGAUGUUUGACAGCACAGGCUGUGACAACGACGCCGGGACUGCCAGCCAUGGGACCGUGACGUGAAAUUUGCAAACCAGUUCAGAGAUGUUAAGAAUGUGAAAACGCAAAUGUGCAUCUCAGGAUGGAGGAAACAUGGCAGGUGACUCCUGAGGGGGAAGGAAGGCUGAGAGUUGAAAAUAAAAAGCGCGCUCCUCCAGCUCAGAGCUGGGGUUGAGCAAGGCUUCUUGCUCCCAGGCUGCUGGCCGAGAACCUGGGCUAGCCCAGGCUAGCCUGGGCCAAGCGAGAAUGGACCGUGGAGAUAGCUGAUCCAAAGGGUCGCUUUGAAAGAAAUAGAAACCACCGUGAAAUUGGUGGUCCAGGGUUUGCUCGCUCUCUGAUGAAAGGGGAUCACCUCCACGUGAAAUCUCUUUGUCCAGAAGUGAAGGAAGCGAGGGGAAGUGAGCCCCAGCCGGUCCCAGCAGUGGUCACAUGUCUCUCAUUGCUUGGGGACAAGAUGUAUGGUGCUGACACGGAACCAGCAGGAUAGUUUCAAGCGUUUACCAGUUACUGCCUGGUGGGGGGUCCUCAUCAGCCAUCCAGUAUGGGGGGCGGGGGCUGAGCCCUGGACAACCAGCCAGUCCCAUGCCACCCCCGUCACCAUUCCGGAGCCACCCUCUUCUUCCAGAGCCCCCGGAUGGAAACCGCUCAGGCCUGAAGAGCCUCCUGGGGUCCUGGCUUCUGUUUUCUGGAAGGCAGGCUGCUGUCUGGAAUUCUGGCCCCCAUCUCCUCCGUCAGAGGCACACAGGGCUGGGGACAAUCCAGAACACCUGAAGGGACUGCCAUGCUCUGCACAGGCCCGUACACCAUGGCCAGGGCCACUGCGAGCUCACAGCUGGGUUUCAGCCCCUAUCACCCCGCCAGGCAUCUUUGCUCAGUGCACUAACUACACGGCUGUAGGAGUAGAGAAGUAGCCCUGGUCAUCAGAUGGUAAGUCUUAGGAACAAGCAGCGUCAUCCUUGCCUUCAUUUAACAAACACUGAUCAAGCUCCUGGUGCCUGUGCCAAGCAGCCUGCCACACACAUCAGCCCAGACAGAAUGGCCAGGGGAGGCAUCACGUCACAUGCCCAGAUGGAUUGGCAAUGCCUGUCUGGAGAGCUGUGAGCCAUUGGUGAUGUCUGCCCUGGACAGGAGAAGGCGGGACAUAGCAUCACUGGUUCUAUUUCAGGAGUCUAGGGGUGGGUGCCAGGAUGAGUAACAUACAGCCCUUGCUUUCAAGGGGUAAUUCACCAGGACAAACAAAGCAAUUAAUUAGUUGCCCGGAUACAAUGUUACAAAUUCCUUUGUGGCCAGGUUUUGUUUUGGGGCCUUCAUUUACACAGAAUUUUUUCUCCCAG
ensembl:lncRNA